AUUGAACGCUGGCGGCAUGCUUUACGCAUGCAAGUCGAGCGGCAGCGCGGGGGCAACCCUGGCGGCGAGCGGCGAACGGGUGAGUAAUGCAUCGGAACGUAUCCUCGAGUGGGGGAUAACCCAGCGAAAGUUGGGCUAAUACCGCAUGAGCUCUGAGGAGGAAAGCGGGGGACCUGCGAGGGCCUCGCGCUGGAUGAGCGUCCGAUGUCCGAUUAGCUAGUUGGUGGGGUAAAGUCUUACCAAGGCGACGAUCGGUAGCUGGUCUGAGAGGAUGAUCAGCCACACUGGGACUGAGACACGGCCCAGACUCCUACGGGAGGCAGCAGUGGGGAAUUUUGGACAAUGGGGGCAACCCUGAUCCAGCAAUGCCGCGUGAGUGAAGAAGGCCUUCGGGUUGUAAAGCUCUUUCGGACGGAACGAAAUGGGCGGGACUAAUACUCCUGUCUGAUGACGGUACCGUAAGAAGAAGCACCGGCUAACUACGUG
rnacentral:rRNA from 1 species